rnacentral:rRNA from 1 species
UGCGUAGGCGGCUGAUUAAGUCGGAUGUGAAAUCCCUGAGCUUAACUUAGGAAUUGCAUUCGAUACUGGUCAGCUAGAGUAUGGGAGAGGAUGGUAGAAUUCCAGGUGUAGCGGUGAAAUGCGUAGAGAUCUGGAGGAAUACCGAUGGCGAAGGCAGCCAUCUGGCCUGAUACUGACGCUGAGGUACAAAGCAUGGGGAGCAAACA